CUCAACUUUCCUGGCCAAGUCUCAAAGGAGGUGGCCCAAGCGUGUCUGAGAGCUUUUCCUAUGCAUUGUCUCUGUGGACUCCUUACCUUUAAUUGCCCUCUGCUGGAAAACAGCAUCUUUGUCCUCUGAGAAAAACAGUCUCCCUUCUUACGGAGGCCAGUGGAUUCCAUCCUAGAGGCUGUGUUGACCGUAUCUCCAAAUAGACAAUAACGAGGCAUCUUGAUUCCCACAACUCCAGCAGCACAGGGACCUGAAAUGAAGGACAGAAAGCAGGAAGUGGAGGCAAUAGAAAUUGCAGAGUAGAGUGAAGACAGGUGGCAUUUCUGGGAUUGGUGCCAUGACAAUGGAAGACAGAAGACAAGACAAAGGCAUAACUUUCCGUAAGCAUUUCAUGGACCAGGCGAAUGCAGCUGGAUGGGGAAGCCUGUGGCACAAGGAGGUUCCAACAAGCAGAACAAAAGCCCAGGCUAGACUAUGCGCUGUGGCAUAUUAGGAGCGGCGAGAUUCUGCAUCUUAGCUUGCCUAGGUGGGGAGAUGGAGUCUUGUUCUGUUGCCCAGGCUGCAGUGCAGUAGCAUGACCUCUGCUCGCUGCAAACUCCACCUCCAGGUUUCAAGCAAUUCUCCUGCUUCAGCCUCCCGAGUAGCUGGGACUGCAGGCAUGCACCACCACACCCAGCGAGUUUUGUAUUUUCAGUAGAGAUGGGGUUUCACAUGUUGGCCAGGCUAGUCUCAAACUCCUGACCUCAAGUGAUCCUCCCUCCUUGGCCUCCCAAAGUGCUGGGAUUACACCCAGCCCCAGCAUAUUCUUUUAAUCAUAUUCAUUUGCUUAUGGUACAGGCACUUAAGUUUUUUAGAAUCCUUAAUGUCUCAUAAUGUUACCAUCUUGAAUUGUGUAAAAGUUUAAUAUCUAAAUAUGCUAAACAAAAUAUGCUGAAGAAGAAAUUAAGCUUAAUGUGUAAUGAAUGACAAAUGGAAAAGGUGGCUUAUGACGUACCUUAGAAAAUAUUCCCUAGAAAUGUGUAGAAAAGAGAAUGAUGAUGUCUAUAGACAAAAUUUGUCAGAAGAAAUGAGUCAGUUAGGUCAGCCAGUCAGUAGAUUGGCUGAGAAUCAGUAGAUCUGUUAAAUGACUGUCGUGUGUGUGUGUGUGUGUGUGUGUGUGUGUGUGUGUGUGUGUGUCAGUCAGGGGGUAGAUAGUAAAUUCUAAUAAAGAAUAUUUAGCCCAUUUGUUAUUAGACUAGUUCACCCAAUAAUGAAAAUUGUAAUCCUCCAAGUACAAAAACAAUGUUAAAAAAACUAAAUGAGCAGCUCAUGGAGGUCACACAGAUGCCUAAGCUCAACAUGUCCAUAAUUUAACAACUUUCAUCCCUUAUUCUGCUAUUUCUUCAGCAAUUUUUUUCUUGGAUAUAUAGCUCUGCCAUCUGUGUUAGCCAACCCAGAGACUUUCUUUCUUCCCCCAUAUCCAAGUUAUAAAAAUCUUACCUGCUUUAACGCAUCUCUGAUCACUAUUCUCAAAUUCUCUGCUUCAGUCACACUGAGAUUUUUCUCUUUCCCCUGGGCCUUCCCUCUUUGGGACAUGUUCUCUCUAUCCCCAUGAAUUCUUGUUAGUAAGUUUAAAGUGAGCCUAAGCAUCUGUGUUGUUAGCAAAAUUUUCAGACGAUUUUACACCCAGUCCAAGAAUCAUUUUAUUGAGACAUUCCAGUUACUUACUUUGUGCAUCUAUACUUCUGUCUUCUCCUUUCCUCUUGCUUCAGUGAUGGAUCCAUCCCUGCUUGUUUAAGAUCAACGCCUCCAUCUGCAUCUGGAUGGCAUCCCAUCUCUCCCACUCAACACAUUGUUCCUGCAAUUGCUCCCUCUCUCUAAUGCAGCAUCAAUUCUUCUCUCUCUACUUGAUGAUUCCACCAGCAUACGGACAUGCUGCCAUGGCUUCCUAUUUUAAGCAAAAUAAACAAAAUACUCUCCAGAUGCCUCUCUUUAUGGACUCUUUAAAUCACUGCCUAUAUUUAUUGCCUUCCUUUUCUCAACUCACAUUCUCUUUAAACUCACACUGACCAAUCUUUCAGACCCUCCACUUCUUGAAAAUUACUCUUGUUAAUGUGGCCAAUGACGUGUAUUAACACCCAUACUGAUACUCAGUUCACAGUUGAAACAUUUUUUUCUUAUAAAUGUUUUCUUUACAUUUAUGGUCUCUAGAUGUUGAGGUGGCUCAGGG
rnacentral:lncRNA from 1 species